UUGUCGGGUAAGUUCCGACCUGCACGAAUGGCGUAAUGAUGGCCAGGCUGUCUCCACCCGAGACUCAGUGAAAUUGAACUCGCUGUGAAGAUGCAGUGUACCCGCGGCAAGACGGAAAGACCCCGUGAACCUUUACUAUAGCUUGACACUGAACAUUGAGCCUUGAUGUGUAGGAUAGGUGGGAGGCUUUGAAGCGUGGACGCCAGUCUGCGUGGAGCCAACCUUGAAAUACCACCCUUUAAUGUUUGAUGUUCUAACGUUGGCCCCUGACCGGGGUUGCGGACAGUGUCUGGUGGGUAGUUUGACUGGGGCGGUCUCCUCCCAAAGCGUAACGGAGGAGCACGAAGGUUAGCUAAUCCUGGUCGGACAUCAGGAGGUUAGUGCAAUGGCAUAAGCUAGCUUGACUGCGAGCGUGACGGCGCGAGCAGGUGCGAAAGCAGGUCAUAGUGAUCCGGUGGUUCUGAAUGGAAGGGCCAUCGCUCAACGGAUAAAAGGUACUCCGGGGAUAACAGGCUGAUACCGCCCAAGAGUUCAUAUCGACGGCGGUGUUUGGCACCUCGAUGUCGGCUCAUCACAUCCUGGGGCUGAAGUAGGUCCCAAGGGUAUGGCUGUUCGCCAUUUAAAGUGGUACGCGAGCUGGGUUUAGAACGUCGUGAGACAGUUCGGUCCCUAUCUGCCGUGGGCGCUGGAGAAUUGAGGGGGGCUGCUCCUAGUACGAGAGGACCGGAGUGGACGCAUCACUGGUGUUCGGGUUGUCAUGCCAAUGGCACUGCCCGGUAGCUAAAUGCGGAAGAGAUAAGUGCUGAAAGCAUCUAAGCACGAAACUUGCCCCGAGAUGAGUUCUCCCUGAGACUUUAAGUCUCCUGAAGGAACGUUAAAGACGAUGACGUUGAUAGGCCGGGUGUGUAAGCGCAGCGAUGCGUUGAGCUAACCGGUACUAAUGAACCGUGAGGCUUAACCUU
rnacentral:rRNA from 1 species